UUGAAUUUUCCAAAAGCACACUUUGAUCAUCAUUUUCAGAUGAAGAAAUCCCACCUCCAAUAUUCUCUGCAAUUGCAUAACAACUUAUUCUCUCUUGUUUCUUCAACUGCUUGUUAUGAAGAUAAAGAUUGUGUUUUUGAGGUAGUUGUAGAGAAAGAAUUGUACUUCUUGUGGUCAAUGUAGUUUGCAUAACAACUUAUUCUCUCUUGUUUCUUCAACUGCUUGUUAUGAAGAUAAAGAUUGUGUUUUUGAGGUAGUUGUAGAGAAAGAAUUGUACUUCUUGUGGUCAAUGUAGUCGGCAGUGACUUCUUUGAAGUUAAGUGGAGUAACUCAGAGAGAAAUGGUUGCUGUAAAGCCAUAGUUAUGGGUGAUUGGAUGUUAAUGGAGUCUGUUUGGGGAAGAGAGAAUAUGAUAUGUAGGUGGCAGAGAAGAAAAAGGAGUGGGAUGCAUUAGAGACACAUGUAGCAGCAGUUGAAAUGUAAAAGACUAUUGUUGCUUCUUCUUCAGUCGAACCAAUGAUAGCC
rnacentral:lncRNA from 1 species